rnacentral:rRNA from 1 species
GACGAACGCUGGCGGCGGGCUUAACACAUGCGAGUCGAACGGAAAGGCAGUGCGUGUGUGCGGUUCUCGAGUGGGGAACGGGUGAGUAAGAGGUGAGUAACCUGCCCUUGACUUUGGGAGAACUUCAGGAAACUGGAGCUAAUACCGGAUAGGAUCUCCUCUUGCGUGGUGGGGGUGGGAAAUUUGCGGCGGGUGGGGAUGGACGGGCGGCUUAUCGGCUUGUUGGUGGGGUAGUGGCUGACCAAGGCAUUGACGGGUAGCCGGCUUGGGAGGGUGACCGGGGUCGUUGGGACUGAGAUACGGACCAGACUCCUACGGGAGGCAGCAGUGGGGAAUAUUGCACAAUGGGCGGGAGCCUGAUGCAGCAGCGUCGCGUGCGGGAUGCCGGCCUUCGGGUUGUAAACCGCUUUCGCCUGUGACGAAGCGUGAGUGACGGUAACGGGUGAAGAAGCACCGGCUAACUACGUG